rnacentral:misc_RNA from 1 species
CUUUGAUUCCUCAUUGAAUAAUAUGUCACACGAUAGGUGCGUUAGGGGAUCAGGGGGGAGAAUUAAACUUCUUCUUACAGGUGACGGCGGUUGAAAAGAGCAGUAGUGUCAUGUCCGCCAUAUUUUUUACUUCGCGUGGUGUUCUCUUAAAAGUUUGUAUUUCAGUAAUUGAGAAGAUAUUUUUCGCCCAAAAUGCCGCCAAGACAAAUUUAUCCUCCAGAGAAGCUCUCUUCCACCAUCGAAGCAAUACGAAACGGAAUGCCGAUAAGGGAGGCUAGUAGAACGUUUGGAAUUCUUGGAGGCACACUGCAAGAUCGGCUCCAUCUACGUGUCCCA